rnacentral:tRNA from 1 species
GGGGCUGUCGGCUAGCUUGGUCUAGGCUUGUAGACUUGGGCUCUAUAGACUCCGGUUCAAAUCCGGGCAGCCCCACCA